CCAAAACUCUCCAAGUACCAGAAAACCAGGGCUGCAGUUUGGAGUUGGAUAAUUUCAACAAAGCAUCUGUAAGCUGCCUUGUGUCUCAUUCCAAGAGGAAAGGGGCAUAUGAAUAAAAUAAAAUUCAUUUCCAUGCCACCACCA
rnacentral:lncRNA from 11 species